ACUACGGAGAGUUUGAUCCUGGCUCAGGACGAACGCUGGCGGCGUGCUUAACACAUGCAAGUCUACGAGAACGAGGUAGCAAUAUCUUUAUUAAAGUGGCGCACGGGUGAGUAACACGUAAGUAACCUACCUUUAGAUUUGGAAUAACCCCGAGAAAUCGGGGCUAAUACCGAAUGAUGCAGCGGCACCUCAUGGUGAUGUUGUUAAAGUCUAUACGGCGUCUAAAGAUGGGCUUGCGUCUGAUUAGCUAGUUGGUGAGGUAACGGCCCACCAAGGCUACGAUCAGUAGCUGGUCUGAGAGGAUGAUCAGCCACACUGGAACUGAGACACGGUCCAGACUCCUACGGGAGGCAGCAGUGAGGAAUAUUGGGCAAUGCCCGGAAGGGUGACCCAGCAA
rnacentral:rRNA from 1 species